rnacentral:misc_RNA from 1 species
AACGCACAUUGCACCUUGUGGUAUUCCACAAGGUAUGCCUGUUUGAGCGUCAUUUCUCCCUCAACCUUCUGGGUUGGCGUUGAAUGGCACGAGCUCUUAGUCAGUCCAUUCGAAAUGUAUUUUUACCAUGUUGUUAUUUUCUAAUUUAGUAGUGACAACAACUAAAAACACAUUUUCCUCAAAUCAGGUAGGACUACCCGCUGAACUUAA